CUAAGUUGUUAAAGGAGAUUAUUUUGACUUGGAAUAAACAAUACUUCCCAGAAACCUCAAGUGAAAUGUUUAAAUAUAAAACCCCAAACUUGCUUCUCUGGCCUUAUUGGAAAUGUCCAUUUAGGAAAAUAGUUAUUCCUCAUUAAACAUGAUAUCUAUAUAAACUAGUAAAUACCUUUUUAUUUUGAAGACUUCAAAAGUAAGCAGCCUUGUUAUCAUGUGUUUGUGGAGUUAGAAAAGGAAGAUGGCAGUGGAGAUCAAAUGUUAACAUCAAACUAUCAGAAUACUCUGCUUGAUGAUGCACUGAAAACACAUUCAUAUCCAUAUUGCUCAUUUCGACAAAAAGGCAGUAUUGGUCUAAUUCAAGUGCAUUUAGUUCCCAAAGGUUCCUUCCAAUCUCUACGCCUAUACAUGCUAGAAAAGCCUACAGCGACAUCCAACCAGUACAAAAUACCUAGAGUUUUACGGAAUCCAGGAGCUGUUAAAUUUAUGCUUGAUAAGGCUGUUAGCUUUAAAAAAUAAUUUUGUUGAGAUAUAUAGUGAUAUUAUAACAUAAAAUAAACUGAAAGACUUGGUUUUCAGACCUUAGAUAUUAUGUCCCAUGUAAGAUGGGAAAAUUUAAUAAGCUGUCUUCCCAUUGUGUGAGACUGGAAUUUGUGACUCGAAAGUUUAACAGACAUGAAUAUGAUGCACACCUUCAACAGUAAUAGGUGCUUCAAUAGUAUACAAUCAAAUACAUAGGUGAUGCACAUGUAAAAAUAACUGAAUAUUCAAUUUAGAAAUGUGUACAUACUUGAUACAAACCAACAUGUUCCACAUGCUAUUUUCCCUGUUUACAUUCCCAGAAUUUCUUGAAAUUUUGACUUGAUAAUCAAAAUUUGUGUGUGUCUUUAAUAAGAUGAACUUUCUAAAACAUUCAAGAACCUGAGGGUGUUAGUCAUAAGCCAAUCAGAAUUUGGCAAAACUGGAAAUUAUAUUUGUACUUUUUAGUUAGAAGUUGAACUUUAUGACCUUUCAUAAUAAAUGUUAAAAAAUUGUAAGCUUUUUUUUUUCAUAACUUUUUUUAAUGCAGACAUUUUUAGAGCUAAUUUUUUUAUUUUUUAACAUAAAAAUGGAUUUUUUUUUCUGAACCUGUACUUAUUUAAUUGUUGUUGACUUGAUUAUUGUCAUUUUAGUUUAACCUUUAUAUUAAUUAUAGAAAUAGCACUCUUCAUGUACAUAAUUAUAUAUGAAAGCAUUUAAUAUAUCAUAUGGAAACCUACAACAAAUAGUAAGGAGAGGACAAUUUGGUUUGUAUGUGUGUGCUUAAAUGUAUUAAAAGAGGUGUGGAAAAUUAAGAAUGUUUUGCUCUAAAAUUAUUUUACGAAAAAAAAAAAAAUGAUUUCCAGGUUUUUUGUUAUUAAGGCCUCAUUCUGUUGCGAAAUGACUAUGAAUUAUCUCAUGAAGAUGAGAUCAAUGCCUGGGCAUUAACACUUCAAAGUUUUACAACACUAAAUUUGGGCAAGUUAUAUUCUAAUUUUGUUCCUUUAUUAUAAUGGAUUUCUUACUAAUAUGCUGAAUAUUCAUGAAAACAACAAUAUAGAGUUUGACCAAAAGCCCUACUUCUUCAAAAGUCAAACCAUAUGUUCAAUACCAACUUUUAACCAAGUAAGGAUGACUGGCAAGGAAAAGAACCUGGUAUUAUUAUGAAAUAAGAGUGGAAUUUAGAUUAUUUUGAACUUGCAUACAACAAAUUUAAUUUAAAUUCACCUAAUUGUUGUUUUUUACACUUGUCCUUGCUGAAAAAAAAUUGGUUAAUUCUAAUAAGAGUUAUGCAAUAAUUCCACAUCACAGAUGUUUAAAUCAUGAUUGGCACUAAUGGCGUAUUCUGUGCGGGUAUGCCUAGGGAAUGAAAAGUGUCUGAAUAUUUUCUGAGUCACACAAUGGCUUGUCAAUUUUUUUUUAAAUGUUAAAUUCUUUAAAAAAAAAAAUAUCUCUCUUAAAAUCAAAAGUAAAUGACAUUUACAACCUCAAAUUAAGCUCAGAUGACAAUAAUAUUGUGCAUAGUUUCUCUUAUUUCUGUCUGCAUUAUAUAUUAUUAUUGUUUAUAGUUAGUCCUAAGGUUGGUGUAAAACAAAGAUACAUUUUUUCCAAAAAGCAACAACAUAAUUGUAAAAAAACUUACAGAAUAAAGUAUAUAAGACAAAAACCUUUCCAUUAAAAAAAUUUAUUCAACUUAAUCAUUCAAACAAUUGUCAAAUUUAACUGCCAACUUUAAAUACAGCUACCAUUAGGUAAGACUUGUCUACUAAAAAUGAUACUAGUGUUAACAUUGAAAACAAGGCCCUCUCACUGUUACAUGAUCUUGACUUUCUUGCAUAUUCUUCAAUAAAGAUCCUGACUUGAUCACCACAUAAUACUACAAAAACAAUCACUCUAGUUUCAUUCAAACUUUUAUUGGAAUUGCUGCAUAAUAAAUAACACCAAUAAAAGACCAAAAAAAAA
rnacentral:sRNA from 1 species